ACCUCAAGUCAAGUGAGAAUACCCGCUGAACUUAAGCAUAUCAAUAAGCGGAGGAAAAGAAACUAACAAGGAUUCCCUCAGUAACGGCGAGUGAACCGGGAAAAGCUCAAAUUUAAAAUCGCUUGGGUUUACCUGAGUGAGUUGUAAUUUGAAGAGAGUGUUUCGACUUUUCGGGUUUGAUCCAAAUCCUUUGGGAUGAGGUAUCAUAGAGGGUGAGAAUCCCGUUCAUGAUUAAACCUGAGUUGUCAAUGAUUCAUUCUCUAAGAGUCGAGUUGUUUGGGAUUGCAGCUCAAAAUGGGUGGUAAAUUUCACCUAAGGCUAAAUAUCUGCGAGAGACCGAUAGCGAACAAGUACCGUGAGGGAAAGAUGAAAAGAACUUUGAAAAGAGAGUUAAAAAGUACGUGAAAUUGUUGAAAGGGAAACGAUUGAAGUCAGUCAUGCUAGCGAGGAAUCAACUUGGUGGUGUGAGUCUCUCAUCUCCUCCGUGUGCACUUCCUCGUCUGGCAGGUUAGCAUCAAUUUUGAUUGUCAUCAAAUAAUUGGGGUAAUGUGGCUUCGCUUCGGUGGAGUGUUAUUAGACCCUGGUGGAUGUGGCGAUUGGGAUUGAGGAUUGCAGCGGAUGCCUCUCGGCUAGUCAUCCGAUUCCUGGCUGUCACCUCGCUUUCGACAGCUUGCUGACGAUCGUGGGACUCGGCGGUCUAGGUGUCGGUCUGAUCUUAAAUUCGCUAAGGAUGCUGACGUAAUGGCUUUAAACGACCCGUCUUGAAACACGGACCA
rnacentral:rRNA from 1 species